UGGUGACCUGAGGCUUCCUGGCUGUCACUCUGUCCCACCCCUCCUGGCCUGCGGGGCAUAGCCUGAGUCCCAGUAAAGUCUGUCAGGUCCUGACCC
rnacentral:pre_miRNA from 1 species